rnacentral:lncRNA from 1 species
CUGAGUUCACCUCUUUCCUUCCUCUAUCUGUGAGUUUUCUGAGAGUAUCUCAUAUCUAAAACUCUUUCUCCUACUUCUCAUCUUUGGAAAGAGUCCAAAUCAAGAAGAAGGAGGCAUCUGAUCGACCAUUGAAGAAGGAUCAACACAGUACUAGCAUACUGUGCUGAUUUCCUGGACCAAGACUUCUGAUCAUGAUUCGUGAGCUCGUGUGGAUGACUCCUAGAGGUCGGAUGCAUGUGCGG